rnacentral:rRNA from 1 species
AGAAAAAUGAUAUAUAAGUAUUACUUAUAAUUAUAUAAGUAUAUAAAGAAACUAUUAUGGAAUUUAAGCUAUGUAUUAAAGAGAAUUAUUUAUAUAUAUAGAGAUACGAUAUCCUAUAAUUAUAUAAACUCUAAGAGAAAUCUAAUACUAAACGAAGUGAAUUGAAAUAUCUUAGUAACUUCAGGAAAAGAAAUCAAAAGAGAUUCUAUGAAUAGCGUGAGCGAAAGUAGAGUAGCCUAUAAAGUAGAACGGUCUCAAAACUGUUUAAAUAUAAUGGGGAACCUUCCUCAAAGGCUAAAUAUAAUACAUAAGCGAUAGUGAAAAGUACCAUGAGGGAACAAAAAUAAAAAUAGUAGUUUUAUAAGCAGUUCGAUAAAAAGAACGUACCUUUUGCAUAAUGGGUCACCAAGUUAACGUUAGAUGCGAGUAUACGCGUAGUUAAACCGAACGUUAAAAUAACGAAAUAGUGUCUAAAGUUAGACCCGAAGCACGGUGAUUUUACCAUGGUCAGGAUUAUAAAAGUCUGAACGGGUGAUUGUAGCAAAAAUCUCCGAAGAACUGUGGUAGGUGUAGUGAAAGACAACACUGACUGUGAUAGCUGGUUUUCUGCGAAACCUAUAAUAGUAGGCAAUUUAAGUAAAUAUCUUAGCAGGUACAGAAUUUAAUCUCAGACAAGACGUGUAAACGUUUUAUAUUGUACAAAUUGGGGGAUCAUGAAGAUUUUAUCAGUGAGUAUGUAGACUCGGAAUGGCAAAGAUAUGUCUUAAAUUAUCAGACAUAGAAUGAUAAGGUUGUAUGUCGAAAGGGAAACAGCCCAGAACAAGAGUUAAGGUUCCUAAAUUAUUAGUUAAGUGAAAUUAAGAAGGUUUUUAUUAAAGUCGACAAGGAGAUAGGCUUAGAAGCAGCCAUAAUUUUAUGACCUCGUAACAGAGCGCUUGUUAAGUUAUAAAAGCAUCGAAAAUUUAACGGAUCUAAACAAUAUACCGAAACCUUGUCCAUAAUAUAUUAUAUUAAUUAUUUUUAAUGUAAUUUAAUGGGGUAGCAGAACGUUGAGCUAGAUUAUGAAUUCUAUUUUUUAAAUAGAAUUAUAUUAAUUUAACUCAAGUGAGAAUGGUGACAUGAGUAACGAAAAGAAAAUUUUCCGCCUUAAGCUUAUGGAUAUAAUUAAGUAACGGCCUCUAAGUUUAUAUUAUCUAAAGAUUUAAACGAUGAGAAAAUCUUUUUUACUAAGGACAACAUUUUAGUGUAAAAUGUGCUGGAAAAAUAGUAAAUAUAUUUGUUAUAAAAUAACAAAUGAACAAUAACCGUACCUAGAAUCUGAAACAAGUAAGCUAGUAGAGAAUACGAAGGCGUAAAUGAGCUAACAAUCAUAAAGGAACUCGGCAAAUUGACUACCGUAACUUCGGAAUAAGGAGGGCUCAUUAUUCUUGAUUAAUAUCAAGUAAAGAGGAAGAAGCAUGAAAUAAUGUUGUACGACUGUUUAAUUAAAACACAGCACUUUGCUGAAAGAUUAAAAAUCUAUGUAUAAAGUGUGAUAUCUGCCCGGUGCCGGCUGGUUAACAGAGAUAAUUGAAUAUACUACUAUUUGAUGUCAACGGAAACCCCGGUUAAAGGCGGCCUUAACGUGAGGGUCCUAAGGUAGCGAAAUGCCUUGGCCGUUAAAUGCGGUCUUGCAUGAAUGGUGUAACGAUACAACAGCUGUCUCUAUGAUUGACUCAGUGAAAUUGGAAUAGCUGUGCAGAUACAGCUUACCUCUAGUUAGACGAGAAGACCCUAUGCAGCUUUACUGUCACUAAUUAUAGAAUAUGAUAGACAAUUUUCAGAAUAUAAGGUAAUUGACGAUAUGACAAUGAGAAUCCUUUAUUUUUCUUUCAUAUGAAUGAAUUGGUUUAGGAUUAUAAGUAGACUGUAAUUAAUGUGGCUUUUUACUGAGUCAUUUUAAUACAUUAAUUAUAGUUUUUAAAUUAUUAUAUAGCUUAUUUUAGUAAAUCAGCCUAAUUCAACUUAUUAUUUUCGAAUAGUAAGUACCCUUUGGCAAGGAACUAUCGCUAGGGGACAGUUUAUGUGGGGCACAGACCCUGUAAAGAGUAAACAGGAGUGUCUAAUAAUUAUAAAUUAUUUUGUUUGCUAUUUUGAGUAGUGUAAGCGCAAGCUAUAACUAUUAUUAAUCAUAUAUAAUUAUUUAUAUUUGCAUUUAUUGUAAAUAUAUUUAAGUUUAGGUAAGAUUUUUACUAUAUAGAAAUUAGAGAUAAUUGAAAAUAUUAUGAAAUCUUUCUAAUGUUUUCUAGCUAUUAUUUUUGAUAGUUAUGUAUUUAAUAUCUAAAAAGCUCAACGGCUAAAUCUUGCCUUACUGUUUGAUUAUCUACAAAUCUUACAGUUGCGUAAGCAGGGCAUAGGAUCACAAGAUGCAAUAAGGAAAGAUCUUGGAUUAUUGGAAAAGCUACGCUAGGGAUAACAGGCUAAUUUGCGCAAGAGUGUACAAAAUGAGUGCGCGGUUUGGCACCUCGAUGUCGGCUUAACUUAUCCUCAUGGACGCAGGAACUAUGUAGGGUGCGACUGUUCGUCGAUUAAAAAGUUACAUGAGCUGGGUUAAAUACGUCGUGAGACAGUAUGGUUUCUAUCUUCUAGGGGGAAUUAGAAUAAAAUAAGAACGAACUUUUGUACGCAAGGAACAAGAAGAGUUUAGCCCGUAAAAAGGUUAAAAUAUGGUUACUAACCUAUGGUUUACCUGUUGUUUAUGUGCCCAAAUAUUAAAUAUAUAUGCUAUUGUAUAUAUAUAUGUAUUAUACAUAGGGAUGUUUCUCUCACUAAGAUAAAUGUAUAGCAUAAGCACGGCAGGAACGCUAAGUUGGUUAAGGAUAAGUGCUGAAAGCAUAUAGGCACGAAGCUUAUCUUAAGAUAUUUCUUAAAUAUACGUAAUAUACUAUUACGAAAUUUAUAGGCUUUAUCCGUACGAAUCUAGAGAUUUUAAAGAAUAAAGUACUAAUUUAAUAAUUCACUAUUUAUAAAUAUAUCA